GCGCCAGCCUAGUGCCCCUGGCGCCGCGUUCCGAGCCAGUUUUGGAAAUGGUCUUGUGGAGUGUGGCGCCGUGGGUUCUUGCCCUAGCGGAUAUGCAUCCAUGGAAGGACCUGUGUGAAAUAGAAGGGAAAAGUGCAACUUUCGUGAGCUGUAAACGCCCGAAAUACACCAGAUAAACUAGUAUUCCAGUAUGCCGCUCUUCCAGUGUUUUCAAUGAGCAUAAGCUUUUAUCAGAAAACACGUAAUUAGACUAAGUGCUCAGUGACCUUUUGGCUUUGGAGCAUCCCUCAGGCAAAUCUGAGAAAUUAACGUGCGGCUCCGCGGUCACCUUUGCUCCGCGGUGAUUGGCCUGCAGCGGGGUCCUCGUGUUUGUCCAAUAUGGCGGCGCCCAGUGGCGGUGUGAACUGUGAGGAGUUCGCCGAGUUCCAGGAAUUACUCAAGGUGAUGAGGACAAUUGAUGACAGAAUAGUACAUGAAUUAAACACUACGGUUCCAACAGCUUCCUUUGCAGGGAAAAUUGAUGCCAGCCAAACCUGUAAACAACUUUAUGAGUCUUUGAUGGCAGCUCAUGCCAGUAGAGACAGAGUCAUAAAAAAUUGUAUAGCCCAGACCUCAGCAGUAGUAAAAAACCUCCGGGAAGAGAGAGAAAAGAAUUUGGAUGAUUUAACGUUAUUAAAGCAACUUAGAAAAGAGCAGACAAAGUUUGCUGUGAAGAUUAUGGAAUCAGAGAGAGCUCUUGGAGAUGGUACAACUCUACCUCUUCAUUUUCUAUCUGAGGAAAAAGACUCAGAGAUACUAACUGACACCCCCAAAGCCACAAGCUAUUGAAAUGGAUGCAGUCAGAACUGAAUGUUGAAGAAGUGGUAAAUGACAGGAGCUGGAAGGUGUUUAAUGAACGCUGCCGAAUUCACUUCAAGCCUCCAAAGAAUGAAUAAAGAGAGAUUCUUUUUUUUUUUUUUUUUUUUUAAAGGACUGGGUCAUCUCAUAAGAGCUAAGCAUGACAGAUAUCAACAGGGCGGGCUUCCUAGGAUGAUUUCUGAGCCAACAGUCCAAGACCUUUUGUUGAUUUCAGCCCCACUUAGCCAAGACCUCAAGUAUAAAUAAUUCUGAUAAUUAUGGAGAAAUCAACUGCUAUUUUAUACUGAUUCUGUAAAAAAAAAAAAAAAAGUUUUGUAACUAUUAAAAUAAUUUUCUGACUCAGUGUA